GACGUAGGGCGCGAGCGUUGUCCGGGAUUUAUUGGGCGUAAAGAGCUCGUAGGCGGCUCGUUGCGUCGGCUGUGAAAACCCGCAGCUCAACUGUGGGCUUGCAGCUGAUACGGGCGGGCUGGGAUUCGGUAGGGGAGACUGGAAUUCCUGGUGCAGCGGUGAAAUGCGCAGAUAUCAGGAGGAACACCGAUGGCGAAGGCAGCUCGCUGGGACGGUACUGACGCUGAGACGCGAAAGCGUGGGGAGCAAACAGG
rnacentral:rRNA from 1 species